rnacentral:rRNA from 1 species
CAGCCGCCGCGGGAAUACGGAGGGUGCGAGCGUUAAUCGGAAUUACUGGGCGUAAAGCGUACGCAGGCGGUUUGUUAAGUCAGAUGUGAAAUCCCCGAGCUUAACUCGGGAACUGCAUUUGAAACUGGCAGGCUAGAGUCUCGUAGAGGGGGGUAGAAUUCCAGGUGUAGCGGUGAAAUGCGUAGAGAUCUGGAGGAAUACCGGUGGCGAAGGCGGCCCCCUGGACGAAGACUGACGCUCAGGUACGAAAGUGUGGGGAGCAAACAGGAUUAGAUACCCCUGUAGUCCCUGUCUCUUAUAC